rnacentral:rRNA from 1 species
CAGUAGCCGCGGUAAUACGGAGGGUGCAAGCGUUAAUCGGAAUUACUGGGCGUAAAGCGCACGCAGGCGGUUUGUUAAGUCAGAUGUGAAAUCCCCGAGCUUAACUUGGGAACUGCAUUUGAAACUGGCAAGCUAGAGUCUUGUAGUGGGGGGUAGAAUUCCAGGUGUAGCGGUGAAAUGCGUAGAGAUCUGGAGGAAUACCGGUGGCGAAGGCGGCCCCCUGGACAAAGACUGACGCUCAGGUGCGAAAGCGUGGGGAGCAAACAGGAUUAGAUACCCGCGUAGUCCCUGUCUCUUAUAC